rnacentral:rRNA from 1 species
AAUAUUGCGCAAUGGGGGAGACCCUGACGCAGCAACGCCGCGUGAGUGAUGAAGGCCUUCGGGUUGUAAAGCUCUGUCUUUGGGGACGAUAAUGACGGUACCAUAGGAGGAAGCCACGGCUAACUACGUGCCAGCAGCCGCGGUAAUACGUAGGUGGCAAGCGUUGUCCGGAUUUACUGGGCGUAAAGAGUAUGUAGGCGGAUAUUUAAGUCAGAUGUGAAAUUCCCGGGCUUAACCUGGGCGCUGCAUUUGAAACUGGAUAUCUAGAGUGCGGGAGAGGAAAGUGGAAUUCCUAGUGUAGCGGUGAAAUGCGUAGAGAUUAGGAAGAACACCAGUGGCGAAGGCGACUUUCUGGACCGUAACUGACGCUGAGAUACGAAAGCGUGGGGAGCAAACAGG